rnacentral:rRNA from 1 species
UACGUAGGGUGCAAGCGUUAAUCGGAAUUACUGGGCGUAAAGCGUGCGCAGGCGGUUGUGCAAGACCGAUGGGAAAUCCCCGGGCUUAACCUGGGAAUGGCAUUGGUGACUGCACGGCUAGAGUGUGUCAGAGGGGGGUAGAAUUCCACGUGUAGCAGUGAAAUGCGUAGAGAUGUGGAGGAAUACCGAUGGCGAAGGCAGCCCCCUGGGACGUCACUGACGCUCAUGCACGAAAGCGUGGGGAGCAAACAGG